UCUCUUUCUUCUUCUUUCUUCUCUGUUCUUCUUCUUCCUGUUCUUUCUCUUUCUCUUCUCUGUCGAUCUCAAUUCGAAGAAUUGAAUUUGUUAUUGUGUGAGAAAUUGCUUAGAAACUCGUCAGUAAGUUGAAUCGAAGGAGUAGGUGAUUGUACUGUGAUUGUUUGAGCUCGAGAGAAGUAGGGGUGAUUCUGUUGAAUCAAUUAGGGUUCUGUUCUUGAGUUGGAAGAGUGAUUAAGGGGAGUUUUGAGUUGUAUUGGAUGAAGAUCGAAUGGGUUGGUGUGUAAUUAAUGUUCUGAAGCUGUUCUUAUGAAGAGUCACAGAACCAGUUAGUCGUUAUUAACAACGAUCGAUUCAGAGGAUGAUCCAGUGGAUAGAACAUCUCGAGGUAGGCGAGGCUUGUCAUCAAAAGAGUUUCAGAGACAGAUUCAAGAUGUGAACGUGGCGAUGAAAGCUUCGAGGAGUUGGUUGCGUUAGUUGGCACUUGGUGGUUGGUGAUGGCGCUGGUUUUGGACAACUACAAUAGAGAAUUGCUACACUUCCCAUUUCAGAUGGUGGAUUAGGAGUGCACACUAUGGAAGACACAUCUAGGUACUGUUAUAUUGCUUCAUAUGCUCAAACACAGUAUUUGCAAAACACUAUGUUGCAGGGUGCAUCCAUUUCAGAACCUGGGCAGAGCUUCUAUCACGCCUUGCAGGCAUACAUUCAGGUUUGUGGUCUUCAUCCUUCUGAUUUCGAUAUUAAUACUGUUUCCCCCCAUUUCAUGAAUUCACUGGCGGCUCGUUAUUUUGCUGUAAUCAAGAAGGAUUUGCCCAUCAACUUUUCGUUAUCUGCAAGAGAUGUUGCACUUUGGCAAUGAAAUAAAGCUGAUCAUGCUAUGGAUUUUGUCAAGGCUAUACCCAUUCAGGGCUUGAACCAAUCUAUUGGACCUCGGCAAUUUCGUGCAGUUUUGAGUUAUAGAUUAGCGAAGUCGGUGGUAUGUUUCGACAUGAUAUGGUACGUGAUACAUUUGCAGACAUAUGUUAUAAAGCGGAUGUUGCAGCUCGUAAAGAGGUUUGUAUGGGUUUCUUAUAUGACUCGGUUAAAUCUAUGAGGUCUGCAGAUUUGCUGGUUUAUAAUUGGGACAAUGGCAGGGACGUUUGCUUUGAUGUCAUAGGUACUUCUCCAUAUACUAGUGCUCGAACUACUUUCUUUACCCAGGACAAGCAAUUUCAGAUGCAGUCACUCGCAAACGCAAUAAGUACUUGGACAAGUGCUUAGCACAUGGAUAUGAGUUCGGUGUGUUGGCUGUUACAACAUUUGGUGAGUUAGGUGAUGAUACUUGUGUUUUUUGAGAAGGUUGAGGAACUAUAUUGCUAGUCAAGAUGCCAAUAUUGUAAAGUAGGAGAGUCUCUUUUUCAUAGAAUAUGUAUUAUUAUUCAAAAGGGAGCUGGUGCCCAGAUUGUUGUUAGGCUACCAACACCCUCGAUGUAAAAACUGUCUUUGUAUUUUUAAUAUUCUUGUUUCUUGAUAAUAAUAAUA